rnacentral:rRNA from 1 species
AGAAAUAGUCUGUCUUAAUUAAAGAUAUUAGAAUUUAACUUUUAAGUGAAAAGGCUUAAAUGAUCUGAAGGGAGGAUAAGACCCUAUAAAACUUUAUAUUCAAAAGUGGAAAUUAGUUUUAUUUAGAAGUUACUAUUUUAUAAUAUUUGGUUGGGGCGACAAGGACAGAAGAAAAAGUAACUGUCUUUUUUUUUUACAAUAAUAUUUGGUUUAAUGAUCCUAAAACGGAUUAAAGAUUAAGUUACUUUAGGGAUAACAGCGUAAUUUUCUUUAAGAGUUCUUAUCGACAGGAAAGUUUGCGACCUCGAUGUUGAAUUAGAGGUUCUUUAUAGAUGUAGAAAUUAUAAUAGAAGGUCUGUUCGACCUUUAAAAUUUUAC